CGCUGCGACACGGGAGAGCGUCAUCCGGAAUCCGGAUGACCGCCGAAGGAGCAACACCUCCCCGUCAAACUCUCAGGCACCCGGACCGUGUCGCGACC
rnacentral:ncRNA from 1 species